rnacentral:rRNA from 1 species
AACGAACGCUGGCGGCAUGCCUAACACAUGCAAGUCGAACGGGAUCCAGGCUUCGGCCUGGUGAGAGUGGCGGACGGGUGAGUAACACGUAGGUAACCUGCCCCCCAGUCUGGAACAACUAGAGGAAACUCUAGCUAAUGCCGGAUGAGACCACGAUCCCUUCGGGGGUUGCGGCCCAAAGAUGGCCUCUACUUGUAAGCUAUCGCUGAGGGAUGGGCCUGCGGGCCAUUAGCUUGUUGGUGAGGUAACGGCUCACCAAGGCUGUGAUGGGCUAGCUGGUCUGAGAGGAUGACCAGCCACACUGGGACUGAGACACGGCCCAGACUCCUACGGGAGGCAGCAGUGGGGAAUAUUGCGCAAUGGCGAAAGCCUGACGCAGCGACGCCGCGUGGUGAUGAAGGCCU